rnacentral:rRNA from 1 species
GAUGAACGCUGGCGGCGUGCCUAACACAUGCAAGUCGAACGAACAGACCAGGAGCUUGCUCCUCUGACGUUAGCGGCGGAGGGGAGAGUCACACGUGGAUACCCUACCUAUCAGACUGGGAUAACUUCGGGAAACCGGCUCUUAUACCGGAUGAUAUAUUGACCCGCGUGGUUCACUAGUGAAAGUCGGUUUUGGUGUCGGUAAUAGCUGACUACGCGCCGGAUGAGCUAGUUGUGAAGGUAACGGAUUACCAAGGCAAGGAUGCGUAGCCGACCUGAGAGGGGGAUCGGCCACACUGGCACGGAGACACGGCCCAGACUCCUACGGGAGGCAGCAGUAGGGAAUCUUCCGCAAUGGGCGAGAGCUUGACGGAGCAACGCCGCGUGAGUGAUGAAGGACUUCGGAUCGGAAAGCUCUGUUAUUAGGGAAGAACAAAUGUGUAAGUAACCAUGCACGUCUUGACGGUACCUGAUCAGAAAGCCACGGCUAACUACGUG